AUGCCCCCACUCUCCUUGCAACCAAGGAGCCCACACCCCUUCCCCCAGUGUCUCUUCCAUCAGUCCAAGGCUGAGGCAACCCAGUUGCUUCCGAAGCAAGAUGACCAAGUUUGGAAGAGACGGCUGAAGCAUCUGUCCCUGGCAGAAGCUCUGUCUUGCGCUCAGACACUCUACCCAGACUUUGUUCCUGGCGGCACCAGAGAACUUCCCCAGCCCGGGGAGGAAUCUCUGAGGAUCACAGGUAACCCACUGCUAACUGGCCAGCCUGCCGUUCCUGAGAGGAAGAUGAAAGACGCGUGGCAUAGGACCCCACCCCCAGACAAACCCAGUCAGAGUAGAACCCCUGGCGACCAGCAGGUGCACGAGUGAGUCCAUCCAAGAUGACCACCAGGCAAGUAGCCAAUCAAUAAGUGACUAUUGAUUUAACUCACUGCUUUGGGUGGCUUGUUUCACAGCAAUAACUGACUGACACACUAUCUGCUGGGGGCUUUUCCACUUUAUUAACCAAAUGACUGAAGGAGUAGAUAAAUAAUACAGUUCUCUAAAUCACUGGGUCUAUGAGUUGGAGAGGUCUUAACCAUGGGACUCUGUGCUUCUGAGUGUCUGAGGCUUAAGUGCCUGGAGCAGACGUUGAGCACAAUAUCUGUGGGAGAGCAGCAUGGUCCAUGCUGAAAGGUUCAUGCUAAUCUUUGCCCCAUCCCACAUUUCCCUUUGACCUUGAUGAGAGCAGCCCAGUGCCAGUCAGCUGAGUAUAAGGGGUAAUAGAAGCUGUGGCAUAAACAGCUGAACUGGAACACAUCUUCAUGAUGUCUCUGCUCACAGGGAAAAGCCCAAAUACCAUGGGAAGACCUCCAGGCUCUGUCUUGAUCUGUCUCCCAGGCUUCUUUCCUACAGCUACUGCCCCAUACUUCCUGAGAUGGGACACUCAGUUCUGCUAAAUGGUCUCCAAAUACAUCAUGCUUUUUCAUGGAUCUGUGCCUUUGCUCCAAAUGCCCUUCCUCCCUUUAGCCUCCCUAAUGAACUCCUACUCACACUGCAAAACCCAAUCAACAGAGCCCUCCUGUGAAAUUUUCCCCAAACUCAACUCAAACACUCUUCCUAUGACACUGAGAUAAUUUAACAGCAUGUCAGAUCACACCAUAUUCCCUCAACUAGAGUGUGAACUCCCUUAGAACAUGCUCAAUAAAACUAAAGGGAGUAGAUGAGUGAGUGAUCAGUGUAGCUACUUUUCCAACAAGGUCAAAUGGUUCUGUGCAAAUACCGUGGGCAGUGGAAUCAGCAGAUCCUGGGCUCCACUGCAGAGGCUUGUUACUCCACGAGACUAGGCUAGUUCCAUUGUGUCAUGGGUCUUAGUUUUCCCAUGGGACCAAAAGUGAUCAUGUAGGACAUACUGUCCCCAGAGAAAGAGCUCCCUCCCUUUCCCCUGCCAGGGGACUCACAGCCUUCUUCUUUGCGGUAGGGGCCCCACUGCUUCCUUGGCCUUCUUCCUGGCACCUCUCCCAGGGCUGGGAGGUCCCAGGGGCAUGGGAAUCAGGGAGAGGCUGGAGCUCAGGGUUCUCUGAGGCACCUCUCUCUCCCUGGAGAUCUCCAUUAGGAGUAUGACACCAUUAUCACUGUCACCAUCAUAAUUAUAACCUAUUUAUCAGACACCAAUGAGGACUUUCUGUUCAUUAUCUCACAACAGUCCUGCCAAGUAGAGACUCCUAUUAUCCCCAUUUUAAAAUAAGAACACUGAGGCUCAGGGAGAUGCUAAGACCUGGUGAGAUGCUUUCUCUCCCUCUCAGUAUCAUCUUCUUGGUCCG
rnacentral:lncRNA from 9 species